GGGUUGUGAGGUUAAGCGACUAAGCGUACACGGUGGAUGCCCUGGCAGUCAGAGGCGAUGAAGGACGUGCUAAUCUGCGAUAAGCGUCGGUAAGGUGAUAUGAACCGUUAUAACCGGCGAUUUCCGAAUGGGGAAACCCAGUGUGAUUCGUCACACUAUCAUUAACUGAAUCCAUAGGUUAAUGAGGCGAACCGGGGGAACUGAAACAUCUAAGUACCCCGAGGAAAA
rnacentral:rRNA from 2 species